rnacentral:lncRNA from 1 species
UGGAUCCUAACCUUGGAUCAAAGUAUGUUCUUGGAUGAAACCUUCCAGAAGCAUCCACUACUAGUUGUGCUGGCCAGGAUUUCUGGGAGUUGUAGUUCAAGAACAUCUGGGGACCCAAGGUACCACCGUAAGACACAACCAUUGAAGAAACAGGAAUCUCUUUGAAUGUAACAUUUACACCUUCAGAGAACAAGCAGGAGAGUUCUUUAUUUCUCUCUGUUAUAUACCCGGUGCAAUAAGCUUCAGAUCAAGUCAAUGGGUUGUACUGAAAAUGGUGACAUUUUAAACCUUGAAGCAGGUAAAGAUGGCCUCUUUCAUUAUAGGGCAUAUUUUUUCUGCUUAAAAGUUUACUGUACUAGGCAUACUCUGAAAUAGUUGCCAUGCCACACUUACUCACUGAAGGUGGAAUGCAGCCUGCACCAGAGGUUUUCUUGCGGGGGGGGGUAGGGGUGGAUGUUGCUAUGCCAGGAGACAUAUUUGUGUUUAUUGCCUAGAGCAAAUGUAUGAACCCAGCUCUAAUUAACAAAUAUUUCUUUGCCACAAAGGGUCCAGUAUUCCAACCACACAAGGAUGAUAGUCAUAUUCGUUGCCCUCCUUCACAGCUGGAGAUGAUGUUAUUUUAGUUGGAUCGAAAGGGCACAGAUGCUGCCACCUGCUCUGCUUCUCUUGAAGCUUAAAUUUUCCUAAAAGACUUGGAUGACUAAGAGGCUUUGGCCACUUUGCAGUUUUUUCAGGUUCAUCCGUUUCCCUUUACCACUAGACUGGUGAAUGCUGAUUAAGUGUUCUAGAGUUUCAAUCUACACAGUAACAAGAAGAUUCCCUGAAACUUGCACUAAGGAAGAGGAAACAGAAAUAGUACAAACUAUUCGUCCAACGUGUCUCAUUGCUUCUGCUACAGAGGAAAAGCAGCCAAGGGGAUUCAGCUGUUUUUGCUUUAAGUCAGAGACAUGGAUGCCAUCCCUGCUCUUGUCUUCUAUCAGCAGCCCAGCAAGCUGUGGGGAUCCCCUCUGAAGCCCCUAUCUCCUCAGGUCUUCACAAGGUUCUCACCCUUCUUCUUUCUUCACUGGCACCAGGUAUUGCUGACUCAAUGCCAUUCAC